rnacentral:rRNA from 1 species
UACGAAGGGGGCUAGCGUUGUUCGGAUUUACUGGCGUAAAGCGCACGUAGGCGGAUCGAUCAGUCAGGGGUGAAAUCCCAGAGCUCAACUCUGGAACUGCCUUUGAUACUGUCGAUCUGGAGUAUGGAAGAGGUGAGUGGAAUUCCGAGUGUAGAGGUGAAAUUCGUAGAUAUUCGGAGGAACACCAGUGGCGAAGGCGGCUCACUGGCCCGGUACUGACGCUGAUGUGCGAAAGCGUGGGGAGCAAACAGG